rnacentral:rRNA from 1 species
GUGGGGAAUAUUGGACAAUGGGCGCAAGCCUGAUCCAGCCAUGCCGCGUGAGUGAUGAAGGCCUUAGGGUUGUAAAGCUCUUUUAGCAGGGACGAUAAUGACGGUACCUGCAGAAAAAGCCCCGGCCAACUUCGUGCCAGCAGCCGCGGUAAUACGAAGGGGGCUAGCGUUGCUCGGAAUCACUGGGCGUAAAGCGCACGUAGGUGGGUCGUUAAGUCGGGGGUGAAAUCCCAGAGCUCAACUCUGGAACUGCCUUCGAUACUGGCGACCUUCGAGUUCGGGAGAGGUGAGUGGAACUGCGAGUGUAGAGGUGAAAUUCGUAGAUAUUCGCAAGAACACCAGUGGCGAAGGCGGCUCACUGGCCCGAUACUGACACUGAGGUGCGAAAGCGUGGGGAGCAAACAGGAUUAGAAACCCCAGUAGUCC